AUACGAAGGUCCCAAGCGUUAUUCGGAAUCACUGGGCGUAAAGAGUACGUAGGCGGUUUGGUAAGUCAGGUGUGAAAUCCCGGAGCUCAACUCCGGAACUGCAUCCGAUACUGCCAGACUUGAGUAAUGGAGAGGCAGGUGGAAUUCUCGGUGUAGCAGUGAAAUGCGUGGAUAUCGAGAGGAGGACCAAUGGCGAAGGCAGCCUGCUGGACAUUUACUGACGCUGAGGUACGAAGGCUAGGGGAGCGAAAGGGAUUAGAAACCCCAGUAGUCC
rnacentral:rRNA from 1 species